rnacentral:rRNA from 1 species
GACGAACGCUGGCGGCGUGCUUAACACAUGCAAGUCGAACGAAGAGCGAUGGAAGCUUGCUUCUAUCAAUCUUAGUGGCGAACGGGUGAGUAACGCGUAAUCAACCUGCCCUUCAGAGGGGGACAACAGUUGGAAACGACUGCUAAUACCGCAUACGAUCUAACCUCGGCAUCGAGGAAAGAUGAAAGGUGGCCUCUAUGUAUAAGCUAUCACUGAAGGAGGGGAUUGCGUCUGAUUAGCUAGUUGGAGGGGUAACGGCCCACCAAGGCGAUGAUCAGUAGCCGGUCUGAGAGGAUGAACGGCCACAUUGGGACUGAGACACGGCCCAGACUCCUACGGGAGGCAGCAGUGGGGAAUCUUCCGCAAUGGACGAAAGUCUGACGGAGCAACGCCGCGUGAGUGAUGACGGCCUUCGGGUUGUAAAGCUCUGUUAAUCGGGACGAAAGGCCUUCUUGCGAAUAGUGAGAAGGAUUGACGGUACCGGAAGAGAAAGCCACGGCUAACUACGUG